UGUAUCGCGAUAGCGCUAGAGCGUGCUAGCGCGCAACCUUUGAUACCAUUUUUUAAGGUUUAUUUCACAAAUUGUUGGUCCCACGAGAAAGCGAAGCUACUUUCCGAUAUUCUCGUAAAAUUUUGAAUCCAAACGACCUUUUUUAUAUACUACACUGAAGUUAUUUUAAAAAUACAAAAUUG